CCUUGCUGCCUACAUCUCCACCAACUACAUGGGCAUGGGCAAGAGCGCAAUGGAUGCGCUGCCAGAGCUGCGCCGCAAGGGCAUCACCGCCAGCGGCAACAGCUUCGUCAUGAACGGCCAGCUGAUGGAUGCUAAUGGCAUUGCCCAGGCGCUGCGCCUGCAGGUAGGGAGAUAUGUGGCAAGUGGCUGAGAUAUGGUCCUCCUGCAUCUUUUUGGCCAUGGAUUGAUCAUCCCAGCAUCAUCAGCUGUGAUAUGAGUAGGGUUGGCCAGUUCCGUAGGUGUAUAAUAUACGAAGAAAAUACGGGUACGUAAAUACGGCGUAUAAUUCAGACCCUGCCCCCGUAUCCGUAUUCCGAAUGAGUCUGUAUAUACGGAAAAAUACGUAUUUUCUACGUAUUAUACGGGGGAAAUCCGUAGCUUCGACUGGCCUUCUACGCAUCGACAUGCCUUCGAAACAGGAAAACUUUGAUAUUUAAGCAACUGAACAUAGACAUUUAAAAUGGAUAACAUGGAACAUAGUGAAGGAGAGACAGAGGCUGCAGCAGAGGGCUCUUUGUCAGGGGCUCAUGGGGAGGGCUCUCAGGGUCAGGGCAGCAGGAGCUCAGCAGGAGGAGCAGGCUCAGCACCAACAGGGGCAGCAGCAGGCAGCACUGACAAGGGAGAGAAGCAAGGCAGAGAAAAAGAGAAGCCUGAGGACACGCUCAAGCGCCUCAGCAACCUCAAGAAGAAAAGUCAGGGAGAUUUCUGGCAGUGGCUGGAGCCUGUGCUGAUUACUGAGGUUGUGAAUAAGGAGGAGGUGCAAGUGUGCAAGCUCAAGUGUGUGAGAGGGGACGGGGUGUGCGGGAAGCUCCUAGGGACGGCCAACCCCUCCAGGACAGCCAAGGAGCACUUCACAGCCAGGGGUUGCAGGGGUUUCAAGCAAGAUCAAGGGCAGGCAAACCUGCAGCAGCAGCAGCAGCAUUGUGCAGCAACCCCUCUGGGAGGUAAGCGCCCACCCCCAGCCCCAGGCAGCAACAGCAGCACCAGCAAGCAGCCCCGCAUUACCCAGUGGGCGGUCAGUGCUCGGCAGCUGCAAGAUGCAAGGCAGCACCUCUCCCGCUUCUUCUUCAAGUCUGGCACUGCACUGCGCUUGGUGGAGCAUGAGGACCUGCUUCUUGCCUUUGGAGCCCUAGGCAUUCAGAAUGUUGCUUGCUAUUGGAGGCUGUGGCAUGUGCGCGCACUUUUGGCGCCUCCAGCCCUCCAACUGCAAAUUUUUUCAGAACCAUAUUUCAUGAGCAAAAUCUACUCUUAAAAAGCUGCAGAUUGACCCCCCUAUGGUUCCAUUUGGGGCACUUACAAAAUUCUGGAUUCUACGGAAUACGGGCAUUAUACGUAUCAUACGGUAUAAAUACGUUAUUUAUACGUAUCUGGGAUUCUGACAUAUGGAACUGGCCAACCCUAGAUAUGAGGUGGCAAAGCGGUUGAAACAAAACCUGGUCAUUUCAUUUCUAUUUUUUGACAGUUGUUUUAGGAAAAGGACCAUAGGUCCUUGUGCUGAGAGCAGUGUGAAGACCUGAUUGUUUCUUGUGCUAAUCAUGAAAGCUGGAGUGGUUGUAGACAGUGAGGUAACGGUCCAGUGACUCAUCCUGGCUUCACCAACAGUCUACCGCUGCUGUGAAAUUGUGUGCACAUGUGCAGUGCCAAAAUGUCAUCCAAGAAGGGGAAACAGGAUGCCAGCAACGCCUCAUGCCGAGUUUGUGCAAGAACAUCUUUUCUUCAUUUCCCUGGAUCUGACGCUCUUGUUUCUGAACGGCUUCCGUGCUCGCAGGCUCGCACACCCAGCCGCCCCAACACUCGCCCCUCCUCCCCCGU
rnacentral:lncRNA from 1 species